CCUACGGGAGGCAGCAGUGAGGAAUAUUGGUCAAUGGGCGGAAGCCUGAACCAGCCAAGUAGCGUGCAGGAUGACGGCCCUACGGGUUGUAAACUGCUUUUAUACGGGAAUAACGCGCCUUACGUGUAGGGCUUUGCAUGUACCGUAUGAAUAAGGACCGGCUAAUUCCGGUCCCGCAGCCGCGGUAAAUCGGAAGGGCCGGGCGUUAUCCGGGUUUAUUGGGUUUAAAGGGAGCGUAGGCCGCAUGUCAAGCGUGCUGUGAAAUGUCCGGGCUCAACCCGGGCCUUGCAGCGCGAACUGGCGUGCUUGAGUCCGCGGAAAGCAGGCGGAAUUCGUCGUGUAGCGGUGAAAUGCUUAGAUAUGACGAAGAACCCCGAUUGCGAAGGCAGCUUGCUGCAGCGGAACUGACGCUGAUGCUCGAAAGCGCGGGUAUCGAACAGGAUUAGAUACCCGAGUAGUC
rnacentral:rRNA from 1 species